CUUUGAUAGCAAAAUCAAGGCGAAUGUUUUAAAAAGAUUUUUCAUUCCUUUUUUUUAAAAAAAAAGAGCAAAAGCCAGCAGAAUGGAGGCGCUUCACCUCUUCAAUGCAUCCUCACUCUUUCAUUCAGGGACCCCAAACGUCUCCGAAGGCCCAACAGUGCCCCCUCCCCAAAUUCUCCCGUAUCCGGGGUUUCCAUAGAAACAGGGCCUGUUUUUCUGCCAGCAGUAGAUUAGCUCACUGGAAGGGAGUCAAGAUGGGUCAGGCCGGGGAGGGGUGGGAAGAAAAGGCUUCGGAGGGGGGAAGAGGCGGAGGGAAAAGAAAGGGUGGUAAUAACAUCCUAAGCUUUGAAUAGGGAGCGAGAGCGCGCCGCACGCUCGGGGGUUGGGGGGCGGGGAGCCAAAGCGCUGAUGCUCGCGGGGAGGAAACAGCCGCCAAAGGACGAGCGAAAUCCGGGCAAGGGAGCAGCUGCCAGGGACGGAAAGCGGAGCGGGUUCCUCGCAGAGCGCCCAGCGGAGAAGGGCCAGUUCGCAGAGAAGAGACGGAGCGGGAGGGAGGCGCGUCCUUCGGAGCUGCGAAGGGCUAACAAAAGGAAGGGAGAAGGGGGGGGGGGCGAGCGAGCUAUGCUAUCUGAGGCGGCCGCGGCCCCGCCGAGAUUGGAGCGCCACAACAUGAGGACUGAGAGCAAUCCGCGGACCCUCGUGGAGCAAGAUUGGUUCUGCAAGAUCUCAUGGGCUUCAGAGGCUUCAGGGUCAUUCCUCCCUUCCAAAAGGAUUGUGUGGCCUGCAGCCAUGCCAGCUGCUGACACGAUGACAGGAAGUGCCGCCCCCAAUGUGGAGAGCAAGCCUGAAAUCAUUAUUUGCAAAAAAAGUGAGAGGAUCAGGUUUGCAAGUGUAAAUAAUACAGCUGCAAAAACAGGAUUUUGGGGUGGGCUUUCAAAGCGUAAUUGGUCGGAGAGCGUCGCCUUCACACCCAAGCUACUGCCUAAAGCAGAACUGAAAACCAUAAAGAAAUUGAUGCUGGAUCCAAGACUGGACUGUUUUCAGCAGAAUAUGCUAAGUCCCAAGAUGAUAAUUGGAGAUCCAUCAGUAGAUCUCAACAUGCGGGAAAGUGGCAGGAUUCUAAAGAAGCAAAUGGGUGGUUGUCAAAAUCUUCGGACUGUUGGGAAAGUCAACUUGAAAAACAAGCCUUUAAGUAUCAAGGACAAGAUUUCAGAAUGGGAAGGAAAAAAGGAAAUUCCAGCUCCGGUGUCCCCGUGGAAGGAGGAGGACCAAAGUAUUAAAGAGGAACCCAGUCCAGUUUUGGGUGUAAUGGAGAAGAUGACUAGGAAUAGUGUUGCAAUGAGAGAAGUGGAGAAUAAGAGGCCCCCAAAUCACAAGGGACCAAGCAAGGAGGAUGAGAGGCCUGUUGGAACUUUUAAAAAUGCUGGGCAGCAUGUUGUAAGGAAAACUGAUGUGAAAUCAAGGGAGGAAGAAUGUAAUUUCAGUGUGGGUAAAUGUACUGAGUUGAAGGACAGUAGGAAGGAAGUCCAGAAGGAGAACCUGUCUGUCUUGAGUCAGGUCAAGAAGCUGGAGCAGGCCUUGAAGUGUGGGUCAGCUGAAGCCCAGCCCCAGCUACCAGGUACUUAUUAUUCUCCACAUUCUCUGCAAGAGAAGACAGGUGAGGAUCAGGAGCCAUCAGAAGGCCAGGAAAGUACCAACCGCCUAGAAGUAAGUAAGUGGCUCCUUGGCUUGGAUACUGAAGCCAGAGAACCAAUCUUUGGGACUUUGGAAGAGGUGAAAGCAUCUUGUGUGAAAUGCAGAUCUCACAAUGAAGAAAAUGUAUAUAUGGAGCCUGGCUUGCCAGAGAAGAAACCUUUUAUCAACCCGCUUCCUAAGCCCCGACGGACUUUCAAACACGAAGGUGAAGUGGGGUGGAUUCUUCCUGCUCGGAAUAAGAGACUCCUUCCCCCUCUCCCUUCUAUUCCACCCCCUCCUCUGCCUUCCUCCCCUCCCCCCUCAGCCAUUAGUAGAAGACUGAGGAAUGGAAAGCUUAAGGCUAACGCAGAUCACAGGAAGUCCUAUGAAUUUGAAGAUUUGUUGCAAUCCUCCUCUGAGAAUGGCCGAGUGGAUUGGUACGCUCAAAGCAAGAUGGCCCUAACCCGCACUUUAUCAGAGGAAAACGUCUAUGAAGAUAUUCUAGAUUUACCAGCAAAAGAAAACCCCUAUGAAGAUAUCGAGACAAAUAGUCAUUGCCUAGGGAAGAAAUGUGGCCUGAACUUUCCAGCCUCUCCCUCUUCUAUUCCUGGCACACCCACAAAGGUCCUCUCUAAGCCCAUCUUCUUUAGGCAGAACUCAGAACGUAGAAGUUUCAAAUUAUUAGACAUACGGAAACCAACUCGGGAUGGGACUUAUUCUCCUUCCAAAAUCAGCCCCCCUUCCACUCCUAGCAGUCCUGAUGACACUUUCUUCUCCUUGGGUGAUUCUCAAAAUGGCAAGAAAAGAAGGAAAAUUUCCAAGCAGCUGGUGUUAAAAAUCAAUGCCAUUUAUGAGGCUCGAAGAGGGAAGAAGCGCGUCAAGAGAUUGUCACAGUCUACAGAGUCCAGCUCAGGGAGAGUUACAGAUGAAAAUAGUGAAUCAGACAGUGACACAGAAGAAAAACAAAGAGCUCACAGUCAACGCCUUGUUCAUGUAAAAUCUCGCCUGAAGCAAGCCCCCAAGUAUCAUAUCUUGGAGAGAGAUCUGAUUGAGUAUCAAGAGAGGCAGCUCUUUGAAUAUUUUGUUGUAGUGUCAUUACACAAGAAGCAAGCUUGCGUACCAUAUGUCCCCGAAGUUACCCAGCAGUUUCCUUUAAAGCUUGAACGUUCCUUCAAAUUCAUGAGGGAGGCAGAGGACCAGCUAAAGGCCAUUCCACAGUUUUGCUUCCCUGAUGCAAAAGACUGGACUCCUGUUUCUCAGUUUAACAGUGAGACAUUUUCAUUUGUCUUGACUAGUGAAGAUGGCAGCCGAAGAUUUGGGUACUGUAGAAGAAUACUGCCCAGUGGGAAAGGAAAACGUCUUCCAGAAGUUUACUGCAUUGUGAGCCGCUUGGGGUGUUUCAACCUCUUCUCGAAGAUCUUGGAUGAGGUUGAGAAAAGACGUGGCAUUUCGCCUGCCUUGGUCCAGCCGCUCAUGAGGAGUGUCAUGGAAGCUCCUUUUCCAGCCCUGGGUCGGACUAUCUCCAUCAAGAACUUCCUGCCUGGUUCUGGAACAGAAGUUAUAGAGCUGUGUCGACCACUUGAUUCAAGACUCGAACAUGUUGAUUUUGAGUCUUUGUUCUCCUCGCUUAGCAUCAGGCACUUAAGCAGAGUCUUUGCUUCCUUGCUGUUGGAGAGACGGGUGAUAUUUAUAGCAGACAAGCUCAGUACCUUGUCCAAAUGCUGCCAUGCCACAGUGGCACUUCUUUACCCCUUUGCCUGGCAGCACACUUACAUCCCGGUACUUCCCCCUUCAAUGAUUGACAUUGUCUGCUCACCAACCCCAUUUCUGAUUGGCCUGCUCUCCAGUUCCUUGCCCCGCCUCAAGGAACUGCCAGUGGAAGAGGUCCUUGUGGUUGACCUUGUUAAUAACCGGUUCCUUAGACAGAUGGAAGAUGAAGAUUCUAUUUUGCCCCGGAAGUUGCAAGGAGCCCUUGAACACAUCCUGGAGCAGAGAAAUGAACUGGCAAAUGACAAGGAGGAAGUCAUGCUCAAUGGCAAACAGGAGUCCAGCCCUCUGAAUGAAAUGGUGUCAGAAGCUUUUGUCCGCUUCUUUGUGGAGAUUGUAGGACACUACUCUCUUUUCAUGAUUCCUGCUGAGAGGGAAGAAAAGACUCUCCAGCGGGAAGCUUUCCGAAAGUCUGUUUCUUCAAAGAGCCUUCGGAGGUUCCUGGAAGUUUUUAUGGAGACUCAGAUGUUUGGAGGCUUCAUUCAAGAACGAGAAUUACGAAAACAGGGAGCCAAAGGUUUGUUUGAGGUACGUGCCCAGGAAUAUCUGGAGACCCUUCCCAGUGAAGAACAGAGCGGAGUUAAUAAAUUCUUGAAAGGAUUAGGUAGCAGAAUGAAAUUUCUUCAUAAGAAAUAAGUGUUUGGAGCACCACCAGGCGUGGAGAGAAGGAUAUCUCUUCUAAGCAUUUCAGCAGACACAACAUGGACCCCUUUUGUUUUUUUCCAUUUUAAAACCAAGUCCAGCUUAGCCUGCUCCAAUAGUGGACAAACCUCAAGAGACGCAGUGUUUAAAAGCUGCACCUGGGUGAACUGCUGACCUCUGGCCUCCUAUACACCAUGGCGCAGAAGGGGCCUCCAGGAUUGGCUGGAUGAAGAAAUUGCACUGGACAAACCACUCCCCAACCUCUCUGUUUACUGCAGAUUUUGUGGUGAUUUUUAAGACCUUAGCUAUUAUAUUUUUUUGAAAAUGUUUCUUAUUUAUGCUGAGGUUAGGAAGAUAUUAGGCAGAGACAUUUGUUCCUUUUACUCUCCCAAGGGAUGACAGCAAGGAUAGGCACUGCCAUAACUUGGAUUGUACAAUUGUAAAAUGACACAAAGUGAUACAGAAAUAAUGAGAAGAGAAAGAAAAGGCAAGGAAAAGAAGAGCUCUUACACACCAGUAAGUGUGGUGGUGAUGGGGACUACUGAAACCAUUCAGAAUUUUAUCCAACUGACCACUGUCUGAUGACUUACUGCCCCUUUCUGGACUUUGGGACAUAUGUCCACACCUUUCUUCAGAAUCACACCCGUGAUGUGAAAUUUAUGGCAACCUGUUUGUACCUUCAAGUCAACAAAGCAUAAAGGCGCCAGGACAAGGUUAUGCACAC